rnacentral:rRNA from 1 species
AUUGAACGCUGGCGGCAGGCUUAACACAUGCAAGUCGAGCGGGGGAAGGUAGCUUGCUACCGGACCUAGCGGCGGACGGGUGAGUAAUGCUUAGGAAUCUGCCUAUUAGUGGGGGACAACAUCUCGAAAGGGAUGCUAAUACCGCAUACGCCCUACGGGAGAAAGCAGGGGAUCUUCGGACCUUCCGCUAAUAGAUGAGCCUAAGUCGGAUUAGCUAGUUGGUGGGGUAAAGGCCUACCAAGGCGACGAUCCGUAGCGGGUCUGAGAGGAUGAUCCGCCCAACUGGGACUGAGACACGGCCCAGACUCAUACGGGAGGCAGCAGGGGUGAAUAUUGGACAAUGGGGGGAACCCUGAUCCAGCCAUGCCGCGUGUGUGAAGAAGGCCUUAUGGUUGUAAAGCACUUUAAGCGAGGAGGAGGCUACUUUAGUUAAUAACUAGAGAGAGUGGACGUUACUCGCAGAAUAAGCACCGGCUAACACUGUGCCAGCAGCCGCCGUAA